GCAUGGUGUGAUUAACCUACUAACCAACCCAGGGCUCGGCCAGGACGCUGCGGCACGCGACGAGAUGCCUGGCCUUCUGUCAGAUGACUAAUCCACUAACCUGGCCCGAGCAUGUCCUACUAACCCUGCGGCAGCCCAAACCCCACUAACU
rnacentral:lncRNA from 1 species